AUUGAACGCUGGCGGCAUGCUUUACACAUGCAAGUCGAACGGUAACAGGGAGCUUGCUCCGCUGACGAGUGGCGAACGGGUGAGUAAUGCGUCGGAACGUGCCGAGUAGUGGGGGAUAACGCAGCGAAAGUUGUGCUAAUACCGCAUACGUACUGAGGUAGAAAGUGGGGGACCUUCGGGCCUCACGCUAUUCGAGCGGCCGACGUCUGAUUAGCUAGUAGGUGAGGUAAAGGCUCACCUAGGCGACGAUCAGUAGCGGGUCUGAGAGGAUGAUCCGCCACACUGGGACUGAGACACGGCCCAGACUCCUACGGGAGGCAGCAGUGGGGAAUUUUGGACAAUGGGCGAAAGCCUGAUCCAGCCAUGCCGCGUGUCUGAAGAAGGCCUUCGGGUUGUAAAGGACUUUUGUCGGGGAGGAAAUCCCUAGUGCUAAUAACACUGGGGGAUGACAGUACCUGAAGAAUAAGCACCGGCUAACUACGUGCCAGCCGCCGCGGUAACAC
rnacentral:rRNA from 1 species